GUCCUCCUGGUGCUUCCCACAGGCUGUGCUCCUUACACUAACUGUAUAAAAAGGGGAGGGAAAGUAAACCUACCCCAUGUACACCUCAGCCCGUGAGAGACUCGCCUAAAAUGGGGAGUCUCUC
rnacentral:snoRNA from 1 species